rnacentral:tRNA from 1 species
GGCCCUAUCGUCUAGCCUGGUCCAGGACGUCCGCUUCUCAGGCAGAAAACACCGGUUCGAAUCCGGUUAGGGCUACCA